rnacentral:SRP_RNA from 1 species
CUGUGCUAGGUGGGGAGUUAGCGGUGCCCUGAACCUGCAACCCGCUAUAGCAGGGCUGAAUUCCCUCCUUGAGGUUGGGUUGGUGCAGGCAAUUUUAUGUAGGACAGCGAUGAAGACUAGGCCCUAUACAACGGAGACCUACGAACCCCGCCAGGUCCGGAAGGAAGCAACGGUAAGUAGUCAUCUCCGUGUGAUAUAGGACUACCUAGUCGGAGCUGUUUCUACAUAAAAACCUGUGUCAGCCUUAAUCGAUUGGAGGGUGCACAG